AAUAAGGGGUUUCUUUUAGGAAUAAAUGAGGUGGAAAAAGUAGGACAGAGCCAGAUCUCAGAGGAGCAAGUUCAGUGGAACGAUGAUUUCUAACUUGGGAGUGGGUCUAAGAUGUAGCCAUCCAUUCCUUCCAUUCCUUGUCCUCUUGAGUGAAUCUCAUUCCAGUGCUCACACUUGCCCUGCAAAAAAGGCCAUGGCACAAGAUUCUCUAGAUUAUUUGUAUGAAGACUGGAGGUGAGCAGCAUCCAACACCUCUGUUAGAGUUCUUUAGAAUAGAGGAGUUUUGUCUUAUAUUUUAAUCCAGGAACCUUCCCAUAUUUAAAAAGUUUAGAAAUAAUAUGUACAGAAAGGACCUAUGGGGAUAGGAAAGCUUAAUAAUACAAGUUAUUUUCCCUUAGAACAGAGGGGAAGGAGCUGCAAAGUGACUGCUAAUGGAGGAACGAUCUGCUGGCUGGGGGAAAUGUGGCCUGAGACUAGAGAUGCAGAGCAGGCAUCUCUAGAAGGAGAGAUGAUGCCAAUAGAAGCCCCAGGAGGGAACUGGCCAGCGAAUACAAUUUUAUAAAGAUUCUCAGUACUUUUUCUGAAAAAAUUCCUAAAAUUUUCAAGGGCGCGUCUAGCCCUCUGCCUCUUUAGAGGUGAGCUCAGUGCUACUUCUGGGUUCUUAAGGCAAAUGCCCUACAAACACCAAAGUCUUGUAUUUUCCACUCUCAGCCGGCACUGGCUAAGUGGGAUUUUUUUUUUCCCUUCCCUAAGUGAAAGGGACUUGUUUUCAGGAGAAGUGUCCUUUAAACAUCCAGCUAAAACUGGAAGUAAUUUUUUGCAUGAAUGGCUUUUUACAGCUAGGUCUACAGCAGAACAAAACUUGUAUUAAACUAAGUGCUACUUUACAUAUCUUAUUUCAAGGGAAAUGAAGGAUUUAUUGUCGUGUAAAUGAUAUACACUGAUUUGUUUCCUACUGGACAUUACAUGUCCCUUUAUCUCUAGGCUGAUGUUGUGCAGCAAACUUUCAAUAUCUGGAAAAUCAGCUGGUACCUACUUCAGUGCAUUAUUAGGAUAUUACGUUCCCUGAGAGGAAUUUUGCCAAUGAAGUUUAGGUACUGUUGUAACUGAUUUCCAUCCCCCCUCCCUAAGCUUCUGUACUAAGUAUAUGUAAAGCUAUUAUAUCUUGUCUGAUCCCAUGUGUUCAUGUGUGUUUCCCAAUGUUUGCAUAAAUAUAUUGGCAAUCUGAAGGGUUAGCUGGCUUAUGGCAACUGCUGAACAAUGGUAUGUUUGGCAUGUGGGACACCUGAUACCUGGGCACACCUGUUCUGAGGCCAAGCUAAUUUUACAGAUUUUGGAAAAGAAAAAACAGCAGCAACAACAACAGUGUGGCUUGAAUUAAGGAAAGUUUAACAAUGAAUACAGUAUUGCCAAGUCAUCAUUUAUGGGUGGAGACGUUGACCACAGCAGUUGAGGUGCUUUCAACUGGAUCUUAUGCCCUUUAUUUUAAUCCCAAUUGAUAGUUCCUCAUUUGUAUUUUAUGACUUAGAAAUACUCCUACGUGAUGCUCGUUUGUUUUUCUCCCAGGCUUCUGGAAAGUGCUGAUCAUGAUUGCUUCCUAUCAUUUGGAUCCCAAAGUUGAUAACUUAACAUAAGUGACUGAGGUUUUAGUAGAACUGGGUUUUACUAAUCGUAUCUCCUCCUUGAGGUGCUGUUCCCUUCAUUCCUUUCCUUUAUGACAGGUGAAUGCAUUGGCUAUGCUGAUUUUAUUUGCAUCCUGGCGAGUCUUGGAGAAUCAAUCUCGUUAAAAUGAUGACUGCAUUUGCCUUUGGAGAAGAGGUUUAUUGUCUAAGUAAAACUCUUAUGUGAAGGUGUCAUUUAUGUAAAAAAAAAAAAAAAUUCUAACUUGAUAAGAUGGCCACAGGUUAGAGGGGUGUGUUCUCAGUUGAUAUUAAGGGAUAUGUUGAAAAGGCAAGUGCCCACCCUCUAUUCUUCAUCUCACCCUUCCUUUCUCCCCAACCUCAAAAGAAAACAAAAAAUUAUUUUUUUAAAUUGUAUUAGUAAUUUAUGUUUAAUACAAAAGGAUGAUUUAAUGGUAUCACCAAAGGUUGUUUCUCCCAUUGUGCAUGUCCUUCAGUCUCGGCCCCAUACCCAUCACCCCAUUCUUCACCCUCAUGCUUCCAUCCCAAGGCAAACAUGUGUCUUCAUCGGAAUCUAUGGGUGUUGAAGUUAAAUGUGGGGGCAGAGAUUUAACACCAUGACACUAAUACAAAUCAACCAUUCUUCACUUUCAAAUGGUUAAUCACUACAGGAAGGCGAACUCUUUUCUUGGUUUUUGUUUAAAAACAUUUUAUACAUAUAUAUGUAUAUAUGUGUGUGUAUGUAUGGACAUAGGUAUGUAUAUGCACAUGUACAUGUAUAUAUGUAUAUAUCCAUCUUCAAUAUAAAUAUAUCAUAAGUGAGAGUUGUAAAUACUCCUUGGUCAUAUGUCUGUCUUUCUCAUAGUAUCAUAUCUUCAAUGUUAUGUUAACAACUCCAUUUAUUGAUUGAUGAAAUCGUGUGUAGACCUGUAUCCUCCUGACAUAGUUUAUGUAGGGUCUCUUCUCAAAUAAAGUAUAAAACAAC
rnacentral:lncRNA from 1 species